UCCCACAAUUGCAGCUAAAGAAAGUAUUUGAACAUUAAGAUAUUACAGCACAAAUUAAGUGCAAAUUUUUAUAACAAAAUAUUAAAAGAAUCAAGUUUUUACUAGUACUAUAAGGUAAUCGUCGAUUUAUUUCCGUACCAUACUGCAGUACUGUCAUGGCAGAUCAUCAAACUUUCAAGUUAACAUCAGGGAUGAUACGGCCUCCUCUAAAACCUGGGACAAAUACAAUAGCAACUCUUCAUGAUGAAGACAGAGAACAGCAUAUGUCCACAAUGCAGGAAUGUUUCAAUGAAGAUUCACUUGCCGUUUACCAACCUGAACCUGAAGGUUUUCGACCAAUGACAGAUGUCGAGAGAAAUCCUGGAAUUGAAGAACCGUUUCAUGUUGACAGAGAUAAACUAACAAAAACAUUUUAUGACAAACUACAAGAUUUGAAAAACGAGCAUCAGAAAACAUUAAAAAUGCUUGAUUUGCUCUACUCAGAAGCGGAUUCUCGUUGCCAUCAAGCCAAAAACUAUCUCUCGAAUCAGAAAAAAGACGCAAAAUACAAGGUUACGCAAAAUGGAUUUGUCGCUGAAAGAAAUCAACGAGAAGGAGUAUUCUUAACGGAAGAAGAUUCAGUUGAUUCCUAUGAAGGAAAUAGGCAGAAUCAAGAUGAGGUAGAGCAGUGCGAUUCAGAAUCAGAAAUUGAGGACGAAAAUCGGUCGGCUAUUGAAUACCAGCACAGUGGGAGAAUACCUAAUGGAUAUAGUAAUGAAUUACGUCAUGAUAGAGUCAAAGAAAUGUGGGAUGAUUUUAAAUUGAAAGAUUACUUGCCGCCUACUUCAAUUGAAAAGAUUGAAAGAGCGAAAGAAAAACGAUCUCGUCCAAAAUCUGCACCUAUAAAAAAAGAUUGGUCUCCAAUAAUAACAAUACCUAAACCAUUCAAAAUGACAAUAAGGGAAGAAAAUAAAAAAGAAAAAACUCACACAAGGUCUUCCGAAGAGGUGGCAAGGGCAGAACGAGAAAGAUUAGAACAAGAGGAACUUGAAAUGAGAUUGCGAGUGAGAGCAAAAGAUCCUCCUGCUCAUACAUUUCUCCCUCUCUAUGAGGAGAUUAUGGAAAGGCAAGAACAACGUUCGAGAAUGAACAGAGAAAAUGCAGUGAAAGCUACUCAAGCUAUGAUCAAACCGUUUUCUUUCAUGGAACGAGAAAAGAUGAAGGAAAUGGAAAAGCAAAAAACCAAGAGAAUGGAACAAAAGAAAGAAAAAAAUAAAUUGAAAACGAUGGUCCAAUUUAUUGCUAGACCAGUUCCAGCAUCUGUGCACGACCCUAGUGUUGCUGAGAAAAUGAAGGAAGAACAACUUUACAGAAAAAUCAAAGUAAAAUUAAGGUCAGAAGAUCUUAUGCAAUCAUCGUCCCUCCCACCAAGAAUGCAUUCUCAUGAAUUAAUGUACGCGCAACGUAGAAAACAAAGGCACAAAGACAUCAAAAAAGCUACAAAACUCUCUUUCAGACCUGAAACUCAUGAUAUGCCAGAUUUCGAGGCAUUACAUAGGAGAUAUCAGAUGGAACAAACAGCUCGAAAGAUGGAAUUAGAAACAACAAUGACUGAACCAUUUCAACUUCGUACUGAAGCACUUCGGAAAAAGAAAGUUGCUAUGCUGGAAGCCAACAGGAAAUUGACUGAAGAUGAAGAAAAUUAUAGAAAUUCAAUGAAAUCUCUGAAAACCAAGAAAUACUCUUAUCCAUCAGACAGCAUUCCCGCUAGAAUGACUGAAUCUGCUCGGCUUAGAAUUGAAGAAACUAAAAAAGCAAUUGCGAAAGCUGAAGAAGAAUUAUUGGAACUGAAAUUAAAAGAAAGAGCAAGAAAAGAAAGAAGAAAAAUAAUGGCUCAAGAGGUUGCCACAAGAGCAAUGACUUCAGACAAAGAUUUAACAGAAUCAACUGAAUAUAGAAAAGAAAAGUUGAAACAAUAUAAGCUUCAACAAAAAGCGAGAAAUGCUGAAUAUCAAAAGGAACUGAAAGAUAUAAAUGAAAGAGUAAAGCAAAGACCUCUGUUAUUUGAGCAACAAGCACAGAAUUCGGCCCGUUUGAAAGCAGAAAAAAGGUAUAAAGAAAUUUUGAGAAAUUCCGGGCUUAAUGAUGAUAUGUUCGAUGAGAACACUGGACGGAGAAAAAUGAAUGGGAACACUGAUCGUAGUAUCGGUGAUGAAGAUGAUUAUAGCGAUGAUGAUUUUGAAACUUCGAUUGUACGAAGUGGGCCUCCAACUUCAUCUCAGCAUGAUAGUAAAAACUAUGAUAAAGACAGCGGAUAGGAAAUUGCGGAAUCAAUUGAAUCUAUUGAAGAUCAUUCAAGGAGUGAAACGUUUGUUAAAAAACAUCUAGACUUUGAUAUAUGAUGAAUGUUAAUGCUUAUAUUACAAGAAUCACAGUAUGCUCAACAUUAUGGUUCUAAUGAGAUUAAUAAUUAAUUGUCUUGUCUGAAAUUAAUUCCUAUUUGGUGAUUCAGAUGAGAAAUAUUUUUUUCAUGAUUGCCUUUUCUUGCAGCUGAACAUAUAUUAAGAACAAUAAGAAAACACUUCUUUGGUAAGUUGAAAUAUGCUUGUCUGAAUAUGCAGACGCAACAUUAUAGGAAUACAUUUCUUUUGGUUUGCAACAAGACUCUUAAAUGACAUAGUUCAGUCAUCUUUAUUUUGUCCUGCUGCAUCAUCCUUGCAAUAUAUGCAUCCAGAUCCAUUGUUUAUAUAAAUAUAAGUGUUUAUAGUUUCCAGCAUAAAAAUAUUAAGUUUUUAUAUAUUUCAAAGUUAUGAUCUGAACUCUGAAGCCUUGAAUUCAAUUUGCUGAUCGUUGUCAAAUAGCAAGAAUUUGUGAUAAAUUUUGCAGAAUACUCUCGUAAUAAUUAAAUAGCAGACUUGCUGGCAUUGAUCCACUGUUAGAUUUUUUAUUAUUAUUAUUAUAAUAAGUAAUAUUGCAUUCUUACAAAUUCAAAAAUUCAUUCCAUUCAGCACACAUAUCUUGAAUACUUUGAUUUUGAAGCACUCUUCAUAUUACAUUCCUAUAGCUAUGUCUAGGUUCUAUCUAUUUAGCUAUUCUUCAUGUGUUUAUUACUGUAAAGUAUCCAACAUUCCUUAUCAGGUAUCAACAAUAUAUGCUGUCUGCUUUCGUGGUGUCAGUGUCGUGUUUUUUUAUUCUUCAGUGCCAAGUAGUCUUAUAUAACUCAACUUUAAUAAUAUAUAAUAUACAAUUACAAUAAUGACACUUUUCAAUUCAUUUAGCUACAAGUCAUAUAUGAUUUGUUUAGAAAUGUUACAAUUGUAUUUGUGUAUUAUUGGUUAUUAUAAAGUCAGGUGAUUUUGGGUUUUUACGACUGAAUUUGACUCUUUUGACCACCUAAGAUUCGUGUUACAUGGGUAAAAUUAUAGAACAGUCGGUGCUAGGUUUUUAUUCAUACAUGCUUGUCAAAUUUGAACUACCAUUUUUCAAUUUUUUUGUAGUUCUCUUUAGAAGAUGUAGGGGCCAUCUUCCAUAUUUGCACAUAUAUUUUCAUCCUUGCGUAUCUACCUUGCAACUAAAUAUCUCAUUCCUAUUAUCAGUUAAUAUUAGUGAUUACUAUAGUUUAUUUUCAGUAUCUUUUGAGAUUUGUAGAAUUUUAAUUUGUGUUUCAGCUUGUUUCAGUAAAUACUGAAAAGCUUAGUUGUCUCAAAAAUGUUGUGUCCUGUAUUUCUUGGCUAAAACACACAGCAGAAGAAUAUUUUUGUUUCUGAGAGACUAAGUAAAUCAUGGGGGGUGUGCAGCAUUUUUAUCCGCGGGCCAUAUAACUACUUCAGACAUCUAGCUGGUCGGUUCAUUUAUAUACAAAACAAAUUAAAUAAUUCUCACAAUGAAAAGACUAUCGCUCAGCCUUACAGUAACAACGACAUUGGGCAAAACGGCGAAAGAUUUAAUGCCAAAGGCAAAAAUAGUUAGAUAAAUUGAUUUUUAUUCUUGUGUGCGCUUUUCUGUACAGAAACUGCCGGAUUAGGAUUUAAUGCUUGAUGGGAAAAUAUCUGGGUGUGGACAAGAGCCACUCAAAUUGGUUUGACGGGCUGGGUUGUGGCACGCGGGCUGCCUGUUGUACACCUCUGGUAUAAAUAGUCAUUGGACUCCUAGUUCAAUUCCGUUCGUUUCACUCAUAUUCUGAACAUUAAAUACCUUAGUAUAGUGUUUUGUAUAUAUUUAUGUAGCAACAACAAUUUUAUAAAGUAAAAACAACUGUUAAUUUAUUCGAUGAUUAUUUGUGGUUUUUCAAUGUUUUACUGCUGCUCUGUUAUUUUUAUUCAUCACAGUUUAACUGGCCAAUAAUGAUCAGAUUGAAUUUAAAAUCUGAAUUUUUCAAAUUUUUAGUUUUAUGAAAAAAAAUUGGUGUUGGCUGUUUUCUCCUAAAUAUUUUUUAAUUUUCCUAGACUUUUCAAUACAUUAUUUGUGAAGACUUUGUAGUAACCUAAUAUAUUUUAGUAAAAUA